CCGCGCCCGGUGGAGGCGGCCGGGACAGCGGGGCGAAGGGCGGCGGGGCCGGGUCGUGAGGGGACGGCGGGCGCUGCCUGCCCGCCCUGCCGCGGGGCAGCCCGCCCGGCUCCCGGCGGCGAAAGCGGAGACAAAAGCUGGCGUCUCACAGCUGGAAGUUGACUUCAGAGAACCCCACUCCUGUCGUCAAAAAGAAAGAUGUGACCUGAGGAGAUAGCUCAGGCCAUUCCCGUAUCCAAAGAUGGGACUGAAGGUGUAUGUAAGGUAGCUUCAAACUUGUUGGCUUUGGUUAAAUUAGCUAUUCAAAAUGGCAGCACACUACUCCAUAUGGUCAACGAAAUCUGUCGGGGUAUUUGGGGUAGACGUUCAGCUGCUGGUUUCCACUGAGGCCUCUGCUGCUAUAGAGACGCUCUUAUUCGUACCUGCACUACCCAAUUUAAAACAGUCGCGUCUACAUCAAGCACACCCACGCUCAGGCCUCAGUUUAGACACAGAACUGUCUCACAAGUUAACUAAUCCUGGUUAGAGCAAGGCUGCUGGUAGUUUUCACCUAAAUUAACUGGUUGGAUAUAGAACUGCGUGGGAGCCUGGUUCUAACACAACAUGUUAACUCCUGUGAAAAUAAAGGCUAUCUUUGUCCUCGUGGGAUUCUAGUUUGAAGUAAUCUGAUUUCUCCAUUUCCUAGUGUAUGUAAAAGAUGAGACGAGGCUGGAGGAAACAGGAUAUGAUAAAUGGUGAGGUCUUAAUUCCAUCUGGUCACCACUGCCACUGCAUCAGAGAGGGUAAUACUGUUGAGUCUAGCAGAAGGCACACUGCCAGGUGAUUGCCUCUUAGUGGUCUGUCUAUGCCCUCUCUAAAGUAAACCAGGGGAUUAAGAGGCUGGGUGAUUGCUCUCUUACAUUGGAUGUAUAGUAGAAAUGCACUACCUUUAUUGGCUACAGGAGUGGUAGAUGUGUUGAAUCAGUUAUCACUUAGGGGUGAAAGCUACGAGAGGGUGCAGGCAAUUUCUUCCUUUUUCAGGGUCCUGAAAGAGAAUUUGCUGCCCUAAUGUACCCUGCCUUUUCCACGUGAGUUACCUGCUCUGAAAAGUACUGUCUUUCCUUAUAGAUCUUACCUAAGAUAUACACGGGGCAAUUCUGGGAAAGCAAAUUAGACGUCAUCUGCAAAACUGUCGUCUUCUGGGAAUACUUUCAUCUAGAGCAAGGGCUUCUGCCUCUCUAACUACGGUGAUGAAAGGUUACACUUCAUAUUGUGUCAAACACCAUAAAGUUUACACCUACUGCACUUUGUACCUAUGCCAACUUUAUUCCCUCUAAGUUUGCUUAGAGGCUAUGCGACAGCACUGAUGUUUAUUUAGAGAUCAUAUUCUUUUAAUUAGCCCCUCUCUGUUUCAGUUUAUAGUAGCCAACAAUUACCUUCAUCCACUACUUUAGACGUCUUUUGCGUGUUUCUAAAGUAUUUUCAAUAUAACACCAUUACCAAAACUUAACAGAACUUUCAAUAAAAUUCCUUUCUUAAUGUAACCCAGCAACCAAAAAUAUUUUCCAUAUGAAACUUUAAUUGCUCAUAGACAAUUGUGGUAUUCAGUCUUGCCUUCUCAUCUGCCAUAGAGAAAAACAAGUGUAAAAAACAAGUAACUGUGGAAAUUAUUGAAAAAAUCCCAUGAAGAAACGUUAUGGAGUAGUAGUGGCAGACUCCUCUUCAGGAUGUGUGACAUAGCUGUACAGUGCAGGAAAAACAAUCCUUAAAAUAGGCAGGUUUGAAACUGUUUAGAAUAAACCCACUAUUUUCAAUUCUUCUUGAAAACUAAGAAGCAGAAAGUGUAAAACACUAAGUACAGUCGUGACAUGCUUCUAAUGGAAGCAUAUUUUUCUGCCUACCUAAAAUUCUGGAUUAAAUUCAAAUUGUAAUUGUAUAUAAAAGGGCUUUGAAGAAAUCUGGCCUCAGGCUGAAAAAAACAUAGAUUAUAGUUAUUUCCACUCCAAAAUAAAUAGUGGCAAUUUCAUGACAAGGCAUAUAUGAAAAAAAAAAUUAGUGGUAACUGCCAGAAUAUGUUUGCUCCUGACUGUGCAUCUGACUUCCCUAACUGAACCUUUAUAUGUUAAAGAAGUCAUGUAUAAAACAUGAGAUGUUAAACUGCAGUUGUGUUACAAAAUAGAGUCAGUAACCAACUACUAGGAAAAGUCUCCCAUCUCUUCCUACAAAAAUAACUUAGUUUCUGUCUUCCUCAAUGGCUUGUUAACAGAAGCAUUUAACCCCUGUAAUUAUACCAGUAUUGUUUAACUGGCAUAACUUCUUCUAUUGUAAGACAUUUUUUCAUGUGUUUAGGUACUGAGAAAAAAAAAAAAAAAACAUUCUUU